UGGCGAACGGGUUAGUAACGCGUGGGAACAUACACAGCACAGGGGGAUAACCAUUGGAAACGAUGGCUAAUACCGCAUACGCCCUAUUGGGGAAAGAUUUAUCGGUGUUGGAUUGGCCCGCGUUAGAUCAGCUAGUUGGUGGGGUAAUGGCUCACCAAGGCGACGAUUUAUAGCUGGUUUGAGAGGAUGAUCAGCAACACUGGAACUGAGACACGGUCCAGACUCCUACGGGAGGCAGCAGUCGGGAAUAUUGUGCAAUGGGGGCAACCCUGACACAGCCAUGCCGCGUGAGUGAAGAAGGCCUUAGGGUUGUAAAGCUCUUUCAGAUGUGAGGAUGAUGACGAUAGCAUCAGAAGAAGCUCCGGCUAACUUCGUGCCAGCAGCCGCGGUAAUACGAAGGGAGCUAGCGUNGUUCGGAAUUACUGGGCGUAAAGGGCGUG
rnacentral:rRNA from 1 species